AUGGAGAGUUUGAUCCUGGCUCAGGAUGAACGCUAGCGGCAGGCCUAAUACAUGCAAGUCGAACGGUAGACAUCUUUCGGGAUGUUGAGAGUGGCGCACGGGUGCGUAACGCGUAUGCAACCUACCUUGUACAGGGGGAUAGCCCGGAGAAAUUCGGAUUAAUACCCCAUAGUAUUAUCAGAUGGCAUCUGAAGAUAAUUAAAGAUUUAUCGGUACAAGAUGGGCAUGCGUGACAUUAGUUAGUUGGUAGGGUAACGGCCUACCAAGACUAUGAUGUCUAGGGGUUCUGAGAGGAUGAUCCCCCACACUGGUACUGAGAUACGGACCAGACUCCUACGGGAGGCAGCAGUAGGGAAUAUUGGUCAAUGGGCGAGAGCCUGAACCAGCCAUGCCGCGUGCAGGAAGACGGCCUUCUGGGUUGUAAACUGCUUUUAUACGGGAAGAAAAUGCCCUUGCGAGGGAAAUUGCCGGUACCGUAUGAAUAAGCACCGGCUAACUCCGUGCCAGCAGCCGCGGUAAUACGGAGGGUGCAAGCGUUGUCCGGAUUU
rnacentral:rRNA from 1 species